rnacentral:rRNA from 1 species
GACAGAGGGAGCUAGCGUUGUUUGGAAUUACUGGGCGUAAAGGGUGCGUAGGCGGUUGUCUAAGUAAGGUGUUAAAGCCCUGGGCUCAACCCAGGAAUCGCGCUUUAAACUGGACAGCUAGAGUGUGACAGAGGAAAGUGGAAUUCCUAGUGUAGGGGUGAAAUCCGUAGAUAUUAGGAGGAACACCAGAGGCGAAGGCGGCUUUCUGGGUCACAACUGACGCUGAGGCACGAAAGCGUGGGGAGCAAACAGG